UCUUUUAUGAAAAGAUGUGCUCUGAAUUCUGUGUCAGAAAUUUUAUAUGUAUUUAUUUCUUCUGCAUUAGGUGAGUUCUGUUGUUUUUUAGCAGGAUCGUAUUUCCUUUCAUCUGUACAUUGCUGUUUCCAUAUUUAAAGAGAUACCCACAUGUUCUAGCUUUUAUAGGUGUAUUCUUUUGUUGUAGGUGUAUUUUAUAGGUGUACUCUUGUGUCAACCUUUUCUAUUUAUUGGAAUCUAAUUCCUUGCCACCAGUUGCUUUUUGUUUGGGCAAGGACUUAAUAUUUGCCACCAGAAUUUAAUACUGCACCAAAAGUCAAUAUUUGCUGUAAUGUUGUUUUCCAGUCUCGGGAGACUUAUUGGGAGCAUCUGAACUUAAAUGCUGUACUGGAACUUAAAACCAGACUUGCAGAGUUUUCUAGGUCUGGGAGAGAUUUAAACAAUCCUUGGAACUUAAUUUCAAACCUUUUACUUGCUUCCCCGUCAUGGAAAAUCUCCACAUGACUACCUGGGAAUUGUAAAAAAUCUUGUCAAAGAUUCAAACCUUCCUUUAGAUCUUGUCCCUGCAUUGCUAUGGUUCUGGUCAGACUCCUCAGUGUGGUGUCCCUGUAGCUAGGAACGCAAAGCAGACGUCAAGAUCUCUGUGGCGAUCACUGUGAUUACUACUCUCAUUUUUGGUCUCAAAUUUACCCCAGGUGGUUCAGCCCUAUGAAUACUCUUAAUACCUCCUGUGUGGUGGAACAAAUGUGGGCUUUCCCCCCAAAUUUACAGAUCUAUGAAGAAAUUAUAUGUCCACUUGAAAUUCCCUCGUCCCAUUUCAAUAACCACAGGUAAAAGGAAGUUCUCUCACAGUGGUGUCAUUUUGGUGUGUGGAAGGCGGGUGGUACCGUCCAAAAAAUUAUUCAUCUUACCAAUCAUAAGUUUUCUCAUGUCCAUGAGUCUUGGGGUUUUCUCCUUCUCUAUUGAGAUCUGGUGAAUUCAGAGUGGCAUUUUUGUAUUUGGAUAGCUACUAGUUGUACAUUUGUGGGGGAAUUGAUGUUGGGUUUUUUAACUUUUUUUAUUUUGUUUACAUCACAAAAUGUCAACAAACUGACACUUGAUAUUGUUGAAAUAGUUUUAUGAGUUUACAAUCCAUUAUGUUUUUAGCGUUUGAUGUCUACUAAAUAUUAAAUGAGCUGGACAUUUCUCACUUAAACGUUCUGUAUAAUUAUUUGGUUGUGUGCUUUUUCUGGUAAAUAAUUAUUAUGUACUGAAGCCAUAUGUUUCUAACACAAACUUCAUCAUUUCUAUUCUAAAAGGCAUCUCAGAAUAUAGGGACAAUAUAACUAUGUAUAUGACAACUUCAAAAUUUUAUUUCAGAAGUAUACAUCAACUAUAUUAUUCUAUGUGGUAUUGCAUCUAUAAAGAUGAAGACAAUUUCUUCUCUGGAGGAAAUGGAAGAAUUUGUCCAGAACUCUGAUGAAGGUGGUAUUUUUGUGUUUUCUCUGGAGUCAGUUUUGCAAAACCUUACAGAAGAAAAGGUUGAUCUUAUCACUUCAGCCCUGGCUCAGAUUCCGCAAAAAGUCAGUACAACUUCUAAUCCUUAUAAGAAGCUAUUCACACAGUGGAAAAAGUAUGGCUUUUCAUUUGGAACUUGAAUCUCGUUUUUCAGUUUGCAUAACAAGCACUAGAUUUACGUAACGAUUUGGAAAGCAUUAUGGUAGUGUAUGUGGACACAACUGAUUAUUUGCCUAUGAUCUUUGCUAUUACUUUAGUAACACAUCUCCUAGUUGUCAUUUGUUAAUAAUAAAAUAAAAAUAAUGCAUUAAGUACCUAUUUCACAUUGCAGGAUUUGAAAUCUUAAGACCUACUCUGAUGACUCCAAAGGAAACUUCUUAAGUAUACUAGCUCAAAGGAACAUAAAAACUGGGGAAUGAUAUCAGAAAGUGAAGAAUCAUGCCAAUAGUAUCCUCAGCAUAUAUUAUUGUAUAGGAACUCUAUUCAGUGUGUUUGAACAUAAAAGUAGAAGCUUAGAUUUAUGUCGUCUUUCUAAUGAACUAGAGCUUUCUAUAGUUAGAAGGCAAUUAUGAUUUUAAUAUAGUCUGACAACCUGCAUGUAAUACUUUAUGAUAUUCAAUUAAUUUUGUUAUUAAUGUAAUUCCAGUUUUCCUCUCUUUAGUUAAUGCUAUUUAUACACUAGCCAAGAGGUUUUUCUUUAAUUUUAUGUUUUGUUUAAUUUAAAAACACUCAAUAAAAGCAAGUAUGCUAAUUAGGAAUGUGAAAUUAGUUUUAGUCAUGAGAUUCUCUUUUUGGGAGUUCAAACUAUCUAUGUAAUCCUUUGUUUUCAAGUGCAAGAUUUUCAUGUAGGUUUCCAGGAAGAAAAAAGUAUGGAACUAAGGUACAAACACAAACAAAAUUUAACUUUGAACAAAGAAAUAUAGGUAACUCCUGUCUCUUUGUUUUUGAAUUAGAAAUAAAUGAAAUAAAAGAGAGAAGGAGGCAUAAAGAGAAAAGACAACCAACUAUCCAAAACCAGACAAAAACCAAAGAAAUAUUUGUCUCUGGGAAACUGUAAAUUUGAUAAAAGACCUAGAAUGGCCAAGUGAUUUACAUUUACACAGAAGUUGAGUGUCCAUAAGAAUACUUAACUUCCAUAUGCGACAAAUUAUGCAACACUGCUUUUUUUGUUAUUUUUAUAAUCUCACUCCUAGAUGCUUUGAAUUUGCAGUAAACAAAAUAACAAAUGGUAUACUUAAUAGUUGAAUGGUAUACACCCUUUUAAAAGGUGACUGUCAAUAGUCUUACUAUUUCUUUCAGUGAUGACAAAGGACCCUUAUAUACCCCUGUCUCAAAUAUCAUCUGAAAUAGAGUGGAUUGUAUGAAUUAUAAUGCUCUGAAAACUCAAAAUGCUAUUAUCUUGUGGUUUAGCUUGUGAAAUGCAUACAUUUUCUUCCUCAGGUUUUAUGGAGAUUCAAAGGAAAGAAACCAACUGCGUUAGGAGCCAAUACACAGCCCUAUGUUUGGAUAUCCCAGAGUGAUCUUCAUGUUUCCCAACUAGAUCAUUCCCAGACCAAAGCUUUUAUCAUUCAAGGUGACAUAAAUGAGAUCUAUGAAGCUAUUUACCGUGGAGUCCCUGUGGUGGGAGUUCCCAUGUUUGGUGAUCAUCUUGACAACACCUCUCACAUGAAAGCCAAAGGAGCAGCUGUGCAGUUAUAAAGAGAAUGCUGUGAGAUUAUCGAGAAUUCACCAUGAUCAACCUGUAAAGUCCCUGGAUCGAGCAGUUUUCUGGAUCGAGUUUGUCCUGAGCCACAAAGGAGCCAAGCACCCUCGGCUAGCUGCCCAUAACUUCUCCUAGUACCAGUGCUGCUCUUUGGAUGUGACUGUAUUUUUGCUAGUCUGUGUGGCAAUGGCUAUAUUUUUGGUCACAAAACUUUGUUUGGUUUUCUGUCCAAAAUUUGGUAAAAUAGGAAAGAAGAAAAAGAGGAAAUACAUGUUUCUGAAUUUGGGAAAGUCAAGAAUGGAGCAAUCUUGUUAAUUUUUCAGCCACAGAUAAUUUAAAAAGAACACAUUACUUUCUCCUCAUUUUCAUAUUUUCCACACCAAUAUUUUAUCUUAGCUCUAUAUCCUAAAAUUUAAACAAAUAAUUAAUUGGGGUGUGUGUCACACUCUUUUGUUGUAUUUGCCUAGGCUAUUUGAUCCUUUUCUAAUACAUUGCUGACACAAGAUCACUAAUAAUUCUAGAAUGUCCUAUUCAUGACAUCACUAUUUUCAUAAUGUCACAUUUUUUAAACCUUAGUUGAUAUGUUUCUUCACAAUUGCUGGCUCUUGUGUAGUGCAUAAAUAUGAGCUGACAUCAAUAGAUGUAAAGAAGUCAAAAGUAUAAAAUUCACAAGAUGCAAUAGACUAUACAAAUCAAGGAAGUGUUCUAUGAUAUUAGUUUGUUAUGAAAAACAUAACAAUGUUGCUUUUUUGAUAAAAAUAAGCCAUUUUACAUAGCCAACAGUACUGGGCUUGGACCAUGAAUUGGUAAUAAUAGUGAUAGUGCAUUACUCUAGAAAAGGUUUAGUGUAUUUCUCUAGAACUCAUCUAGAUAUAAUGGCCUACAUUUCUGCCUUUAGUCAACCAAUAUUUUUUGUCUCCUCAAUGAGAAAGAGAUAGUUAUCAUUACUGUGUUCAAACAAAAGGGUAAGUGAUCCUUUCCUAUGGAGAGAAAAUGUCAACAAGAUGAUCAAGAUGAACAGAUUAUUUUAGGAGAAGUAACCACAGGAAACAUUUUAUUAAAAAUACUAAUUUUAAGAAACUUUUGACUGUUUUCUUGAUGAAGUUUUAAAUGUCUAUUAAGAAUUACUAUUUAUUCAUAAUUUUUAGUAUCUAUAAAGUAUAAUUCACUGUAGGAAAAUAGAGAUACAUUUAAUCUAAAACUAAGAUUAUUAUAUUGUCUUUCAGUCUCAAUAUUCUAGAUAUAUGUUUGUUAAAUAAUUGUAUGCAAUAAUUUAAGAUAUUACAAGAUCUGCAUGACCAAGAAUAUAUGGUAUAUCAUAAUAAUCAUGUAGCAAUGU